UACGUAGGGGGCAAGCGUUGUCCGGAAUCAUUGGGCGUAAAGAGCGUGUAGGCGGUCCGUUAAGUCGGCUGUGAAAGUCCAAGGCUCAACCUUGGGAUGCCGGUCGAUACUGCCGGACUAGAGUUCGGAAGAGGCGAGUGGAAUUCCUGGUGUAGCGGUGAAAUGCGCAGAUAUCAGGAGGAACACCUAUGGCGAAGGCAGCUCGCUGGGACGGUACUGACGCUGAGGCGCGAAAGCGUGGGGAGCGAACAGG
rnacentral:rRNA from 1 species